AAGCCUCACAGUGAAAGACGGAUAGGCUACCUUCUGAUCCUAUAAUUAACGAAAGAAAUUGUUUAUUUUAACACAGAGGAGAAGGACACAUUUGGCGCUCGCUGUAGCCUCGCAAAAAUAUUUGAGCGCUAGAAUGUCCUAGUCGUAGCCUAACAAUAAUAAUUCAAUAGGACUAUUUUCUGCUAAAACCUUAGGCUCCAUAUUUUACGUCCAAUGUAGGCUAUAGGCCUGCGAGACAUGUAGGCUACAAAAAGACAAUUACACAUUCACAUCACAGUCAGGAAUUAUUUGAAUAAGACGGUAGAUUCUUUUAUUUUACAAGACAGUAGACUAAUAUGUGAUAACUGUUUGGCUGACAGCCUUUAAAGUAGGCUUAAUUUCAUUUCCAGGGAAAGUUUUUUUUCAUGUUUUAGCCUGUUACAGCAGAAAUUAGUGACUGGCAUGUGGGGGCGUGGCAUCACGAUGGUUGCUUCCCAUCGUGAUGUCUGUCAACCAUCACGAUGGACGAUGAUAUCGUCCCUCGGCACAACCCUAAAACCUACACAAAGA